rnacentral:rRNA from 1 species
CGGCACCUCAAGUGGUCAGGAUGAUUAUUGGGCCUAAAGCAUCCGUAGCCGGCGCUGUAAGUUUUCGGUUAAAUCUGUACGCUCAACGUACAGGCUGCCGGGAAUACUGCAGCGCUAGGGAGUGGGAGAGGUAGACGGUACUCGGUAGGAAGGGGUAAAAUCCUUUGAUCUAUUGAUGACCACCUGUGGCGAAGGCGGUCUACCAGAACACGUCCGACGGUGAGGGAUGAAAGCUGGGGGAGCGAACCGGAUUAGAUACCCGAGUAGUCC